AACGUAGGUCACAAGCGUUGUCCGGAAUUACUGGGUGUAAAGGGAGCGCAGGCGGGAAGACAAGUUGGAAGUGAAAUCCAUGGGCUCAACCCAUGAAAUGCUUUCAAAACUGUUUUUCUUGAGUAGUGCAGAGGUAGGCGGAAUUCCCGGUGUAGCGGUGGAAUGCGUAGAUAUCGGGAGGAACACCAGUGGCGAAGGCGGCCUACUGGGCACCAACUGACGCUGAGGCUCGAAAGUGUGGGUAGCAAACAGG
rnacentral:rRNA from 1 species